GCAGGCGGGCGCAGGCGGCUUGCAGCUGUCUCGGGUGGCCACGCAGGGCGUGGGUGGCGGGGGCCGUGCCUCCUUCAACGAAGCGUUCAUCUGUAGGAGAGACGUCGAGGGUUGCUGAGCGGCCCUCUCUGGGCCCUCGUUCCCAUCUGCUAUGGAGGUCUGGGACCAGAGAUCUCUGCCCUGCUGCCCAGCUCUGCUCAUACGCACAGGCCAUGCUGUGGUUGUGCAGCCCAGGCUCACUGAGAACUUGGCAUGUAGUUUGGGAUGGCCGUGAACUCCUGCUCUUCCUGCUUCCACCUCCCACAUACAGGGAGUACAGCUGUGUGCCACCACACCCGACUUUUAUUUUCUAAUCUUGGCAUCUUCUGAUUUUUAAGCAGCAGGUAGCUCUCUUGCUCAGUGAACUUAGGCUCUCUGACUUGAAUGGAAGUCUGCCGCAAGGCUCUAGGCCAGGAAACCGCUAGGAAGUUUUCAGUUAUUUUGUUUCAUGUAGGCCUGGAGAUACCUUCCAUUUGGGUCUCAGCCUUGGCUUGCAGGUCUCCCACUCCGCCGUGAGAACUCCCAGGCCUACCUUGGAUGAUCUCUUCCGUUUCUCGGCUUCUUUUCUGCUGAUCCUCUUGGAUUUCUUGUUCAGUGCUUCAAAGAAGACAGAUGGAGCAAAGCCAGAUGUUACUGGGGGCCCGAGUUGUGAAGUGGGAGGAGCAAAGGGGGCGCUGGGAAGUCUCAGAGUGGAGAGAAAGAGGAACUUUGGGAUGAAUCAUGUUAUGGGAAUUCAACCAGCAGGUUCUUAUUAGCCUGGCUUCAAACCUAAAGAGCAGUGUGCUCCGAGUGGAGGCAAAGAGGACAUCCAAGAGGGACCUGGAACGUGUCUGUGGCAUCUGUUAGAGACCUGGACCUGGUCUUUUGACCUUGCUGGCCCUUGAUCACCACAGGUGCCCAUUUUAGCCUUUAACCUUGCAGGUGCAGGAGUAUUGUAAGCCUCUGAAAAUGGACUUGGCCUUUUGUUACUGGACACAUCUGUGUUACAUAUAUUAUUCUCAAAGCACAGAGCCAGGCACACCUGCCUUGAAUCCAUAUAACAGCUGUGUCGUUUCUCUGGUAAUCAGUUUCCUCAUCUACAAAAAGGUUUCUAUCAUAAGUAAAGUAUAUUUAUAAAACAAAAAGUCUGACAUGGGCCCGGAGAGAUGGCUCAGCUGUUAAGAGCACUUGAUGCACUUCCAGAGGACCCAGGUUUGUUUCCCGGCACUGACUGGUGACUCACAACUGCCUAUAACUCCAGUUCCAGGGGCUCUGAGGGUACUAGGCCUGCACAUACAAGAAGGCAGAGCAUCCAUUUACAUAAAAUUAAAAUAUUUUUUAAAAGUCUGACAUAUCCAUGGUGAUUAAGGAAUAUUGGUGUCUCUCCUUUUCCCUCCUUUGACUCCCCAGACCAGAGAUUCUCUACCUGUGGGUUGUGACCACUUUGGCAAACCCCCAUGUCCAAAAAUAUUUCCAUUACAACUUAUAACAGUAGCAAAAUGAUAGUUAUGAAGUAGCAAUGACAGUAACUGAGGGUCACCGCAACAUGAGGAACUGCAUUAAAGGGUUGUAGCAUUAGGAAGCUUGAAAAUGGCUGCUCUAGGCCCUCUUUUUGUGACCAGUGAAAUGCAAGUCAAUGAGUUGUGAGCACACAUGUGUAAUUCACCUGUCUGAGUUCUGGCUCGGCCCAUUGGGAACUACUGUCUGUAAGCUCCAGUCUUGUCAGUGGUAAAAUACAAAUAAAGCUAAGAGCCGCUUCACAGAACCUAUGUGUGCUUACUUUUAUUUUGGUUACAGGAACUGAAUGCAGGUGUCAUGCAUGAUAAGCAUGCGCUCUGCCACCAUGCUUCAUCCUUAGCCCAUGUGCUUUAUGAUUAGGUGAGAUCAAUCCACCGGAUCUCCAAUGCCAGACU